GACAGAGGUGCCAAGCGUUAGGCGGAAUCACUGGGCUUAAAGCGUGUGUAGGCGGAUUUGUAAGUACCUUGUGAAAUCCCACGGCUCAACCGUGGAACUGCUCGGUAUACUGCUUAUCUUGAGCCACUUAGGGGCUACCGGAACAAAUGGUGGAGCGGUGAAAUGCGUAGAUAUCAUUUGGAACGCCAAUGGUGAAAACAGGUAGCUGGGAGUGUGCUGACGCUGAGACACGAAAGCCAGGGGAGCGAACAGG
rnacentral:rRNA from 1 species